AGAUUUCGUCAAAGCCGACCUCCUCCCCGGCAAUGACGAAUAGGCCCAACCUUCACCUCCUCCCGAGGGUUGGCCAACCAAACGGCGCCCGCCGCACCUCCUCCCGCGGCGGGCGUUGUUU
rnacentral:sRNA from 19 species